GGGCAACUAGCUCAGUUGGUUAGAGCGCUUCUCUGAUAAGGAAGAGGUCGGAGGUUCGACUCCUCCGUUGCCCA
rnacentral:tRNA from 1 species